rnacentral:rRNA from 1 species
GACGAACGCUGGCGGCAUGCCUAACACAUGCAAGUCGAACGAGACCUUCGGGUCUAGUGGCGCACGGCUGCGUAACGCGGGGGAACCUGCACGUAGGUUCGGAAUAACUCCCCGAAAGGGAUGCUAAUACCGGAUAAUGUCUUCGGACCAAAGAUGUAUCGCCGUUGGAUGGGCCCGCGUUGGAUUAGCUAGUUGGUAGUGUAAAAGCCUACCAAGGCGACGUUGCAUAGCUGGUCUGAGAGGAUGAUCAGCCAGAAUGGGACUGAGACACGGCCCAGACUGCUACGGGAGGCAGCAGUGGGGAAUAUUGGACGAUGGGCGAAAGUCUGACCCAGCAAUGCGGGGUGAGUGAUGAAGGCCUUAGGGUUGUAAAGCUCUUUUACCCGGGAUGAUAAUGACAGUACCGGGAGAAUAAGCUCCGGCUAACUCCGUG